UAUUAUUCCAAAAAUAUUUUCAACUCUUAGUUAGUAAUAGUUAUUUACUUAAAAUUUAAAAAAUUUGGCGGUAAUUUAAUCUUUCUAGAGGAACUUGUUUUUUAAUCGAUAAACCACGAAAUAUCUUACUUAUUUAAAAAUUAAAGUUUGUAUACCAUCAUUAUCAGAUAAUUUUUAAAAAAUUAAUUAUUAAUAAUAAAAGUUUUAGUUAAAUUAGAUCAUGGUGCAGCUAAUAAAUAAGCUAAAAUGAGUUACAAUAAAUUAUUUUAUACGGAAAAAUAAGAGAAUUUUAUUUAGAAGGUGGAUUUAGUUGUAUUUAAAUUUUAAUAUGUUUAAAAGAUGUUAGCUCUAAAUUAUGUACAUAU
rnacentral:rRNA from 1 species